rnacentral:rRNA from 1 species
AUGAAGCAAAUUAGGCACUACAUAAUAACAAACUGCGAGGAAUCCAACUCAUGGACCGAUGAGCAUCUGGAUGAGCUUACAAGGGCUGGUGCUCACGGUGUCCAGAAACGGCACAGAGACGAGUUUGUAGAUUGGUUCGAGAGGCGUAUCCAGGCACUUCACAAAGAAGGGAAAGUCAAUGAUCUUUUGUAUGCCCUAUCUAGAGGACCUGACCCUCGAGCUCGUGUUUAUAACCGCACCUUCAUCAAUGGGUUUUUCUUUAGAAAUGAUAGUGUAGAAAGAGAUUUGAAUACCCAAAACAGCGGUGUUGUUGUUAGGGGUGAUGCUCGAUCUGGCAACCUUGAUUGGUUUGGUGUGAUCAAGAAAAUUAUUUGUGUAGAUUUUCCCUCGGAAAAGGAGGUAGUGCUAUUUCAAUGUGACUGGUUUGACGUGCCCUCUGCCAAUAAAAAUCAAAGCACGGGCUACAAGAAGGAUGAUUAUGGCUAUAUCGAUGUAGAUACUACCCGACUUCGAUAUAGGGAUGAUCCCUACAUACUAGGCAUUCAAGCAGAACAAGUGUUCUAUGUGAGAGAUGUCAAGAAGAUAAAUUGGGUUUCUAUUGUUAGAUUGAAGCCGCGAGACCUAUAUGCCAUGCCAUCCGUAGGAAAUGAUGACGAUGGAACCGGAGCUGAUGCUGACUUACUUGAUAUUGUAGUUGGAGAUACAAAUGUGCCAGACAUAGACGGGGAUGUCGAAAGUUGGUCUAGAUCUGGCAUGGAAGGUGCCAGUGGUGAUGCUUCAGAUAUUCCGAAGAUACCCGAAGUUGAUCCCGGAUAUGAUGAGCUUCAAUCUGAUAGUGAUAGCUGUGAUGAUGAGACAUAUAUAAAUGAUGGCCAUGUUCCUCAUUUAGUACUCGACGAAUCUGAUGAUGAUGAGUUUUUUGUGUAG